GACGAACGCUGGCGGCGUGCCUAAUACAUGCAAGUCGAGCGGAUGGAAGGAAGCUUGCUUCCUAAAGUCAGCGGCGGACGGGUGAGUAACACGUGGGCAACCUGCCCCUAAGAUCGGGAUAACUUCGGGAAACUGGAGCUAAUACCGGAAAUGAUUAUGUCUCACAUGAGACACAAUGGAAAGACGGUUUCGGCUGUGACUUAGGGAUGGGCCCGCGGCGCAUUAGCUAGUUGGUGAGGUAACGGCUCACCAAGGCGACGAUGCGUAGCCGACCUGAGAGGGUGAUCGGCCACACUGGGACUGAGACACGGCCCAGACUCCUACGGGAGGCAGCAGUAGGGAAUCUUCCGCAAUGGACGAAAGUCUGACGGAGCAACGCCGCGUGAGUGAAGAAGGUUUUCGGAUCGUAAAACUCUGUUGUUAGGGAAGAACAAGUACCAUAGUAACUGAUGGUACCUUGACGGUACCUAACCAGAAAGCCACGGCUAACUACGUGCCAGCCGCCGCAGUAAAAC
rnacentral:rRNA from 1 species